CACAUGGGUUCUGUGGAAGACCAUUGAAACUCAAAACAUUCUUGGGCGACCUCCGACCAAGGCAGAUGGCGCUAUAAUGGGAUAUUCUCAGGAUACUGAUGAUUUAUUUAUAUACCUGGAACCCGAUGCAUAUAUGCUUCACCUUAAGUCGAUGCAAUCGAAGAUACUUCCUGGAAGCUAUGAUCCUAUCUUUAAGUACCAUCCCUUCACGAGUUUCUACUGUACACCAGGCACAACCAUUGGUGGAUGUGAUGAAGCUGACAUGCUGCAAAAAUCCAUAGGACGACUGUCUAGUUUGGAGGGCUAAUCUGCUAUAAUGCUUCAACAGGUGAAACAAGGGCUGCUGCAGUUGUCCGUUGUCACUUAGUUUGCCUCAUCAAACUCAUCGUAUCAAUUUGGUAGGUGGUGUUUUGUGUCUGUGCGCUAUCUAAAAACAUACUGAAUCCAUGGCUUAGUCCAGCCAAGGUUGUAAUGUAGCCAGAUGCUUUUGAAUCUGUGGCUUCGUCUAGUCAAGUUUCUAAUGUAGCAAGAUGCUUUUGAAUACCUAAUCUAGGGAAUUCAGCUUCCCAGAGUAUCUUU